UACCUGCAGCUCAAGUGGUGGCCGUUAUUAUUGGGCCUAAAACGUCCGUAGCCGGUUUAUUAAAUGCCUGGGUAAAUCGGACCGCUCAACGGUUCGAAUUCCGGGUAGACUGAUAGACUUGAGACUGGGAGAAGCUAGAGGUACUCCUGGGGUAGAGGUGAAAUUCUGUAAUCCUAGGGGGACCACCAGUGGCGAAAGCGUCUAGCUAGAACGGGUCUGACGGUGAGGGACGAAGCCCUGGGGCGCAAACCGGAUUAGAUACCCGGGUAGUCCAGGGUGUAAACGCUGCUUGCUUGAUGUUAGUCGGGCUCCGAGCCCGAUUAGUGUCGGAGAGAAGUUGUUAAGCAAGCUGCCUGGGAAGUACGGUCGCAAGACUGAAACUUAAAGGAAUUGGCGGGGAGCACAGCAACGGGUGGAGCGUGCGGUUU
rnacentral:rRNA from 1 species